rnacentral:lncRNA from 1 species
UGCUGAAUCUUGCAGCAGAAAGCAAGUCCUGCAGGUUGUAUAUGUGCCCGAGUGCUUCCUCGGCGUUGCUCUCAGCAGUGAAAAACCGCUGCGCGAGGGCAAGGCCUGCGGCUACAUCAGCAGCCCGCGGUAGUGGCUCACUUGCGGCGGCGUCGUCGUCAACCUCAGUUUCGUGACUAGGCUCGCUGGGCCGAACCAUCUCCACGAUCUCAGCGUCCGACAGUGCACCGCACGUUUCUACCGAACUGUCAGUGGCAAUGUACUCCUCGAAAAGGACGUCGCCGAGAGGUGGCAGGAGGCCAUCAACGUCAAGCUCACUUGUGUCUUCUUCCCCCACUGUACAUGACGCCAAGUCAAGCGUCUGAUAAGGCCCGCGAGUUAACAUAGUAAAUGCGCGCGGAGCUUCGUCGCAUGUGGAAACGCUGAUCAACAACGAGGCCCGGAACCGGAACCGCCGGAGCAGCCGCUUUGUGAUCUGGGGCGCUGCAUGCAACUGGGAUGCCAUCAGCUGAUGCUUUGAACUGCGGCGCUGUGAUCAACUGCGAUGCCCUUGGGUGCCGGUCGCACACGCAUUGUUGUUUAGCACUUCGAAAAUAGGAAAUUUAAUAAACAUUACGAUUUCCUCCGGAAAUUCGAUUAAAAAUAAAUUCGAAUUAACCAAAAUUCCAGACCUCUAGCUUCCAAUUACCGAGAAUGUCUUCCUGUUGAACUGCAUGCAAAACUGACGGGACCCCCACUCCACUUCCAAUUAACCGAUAAUUCCAAUUAAGCGACUUCAAGUUAUCGGGAGUCGACUGUAGUAGCCUUCAAAAGGCAACGUGCUUUGUUUAGCGGUUGUUUUGGUCGUUCUAAUUCAGUUAGUAAAUGAUCGUGAAAGAGUACUGACACGAAAACUGUAUGUGUCAUUUCUUCUGUUGCAAUGAGUGGCUAAUGACCCAGUUAUCUCGACUGCAAACCUUUUUUAACAAAACCCAAAGCAGUUAAAUUUUUUAAAGACAUUUUCAUAGUGCACUGCUCGGGUGUAUGAACGUCGCGACACAAAGUACCACAGUGCUGCAGACUUGUGAGGCUGCAUAUUUUUUUUUUGCUUGUUUGAGAAAAGCAGUGCACUGGCUCGUUUAAAUGUACAUGAUGUGUGUCUGCUGCAAUAAAUUGUCCUCUGUCACGCCUCUUAUCCUCCAUCCUCCUAGAAUUAUACGCAUUGGGAUGUGAUGCAUUUAACAUUAUAACUACACUGACUUUCAUUUCUCUUUGGGCCAGGUGAAUGAGCUGCAUUUCAAGUGCCGGAGGCAUGACUGCUGGCUAACCAACCAAGAGUUCAUUCCUGGGCGAAAGUGAAAAACAUUUUACCCCCUCGCCGACGCUCAUCUGCAAUAUUUUUUCGGUGGUUCAUUCAUUCAAAUAGCAUAACAAUUUGAAAAGUAGGCCAAAUGUGACGUAUUAAUUUGUUGUGCAGCACUGAGCAGCUGACUCGUCCGUCACUCAGGGUUAGCGCAGCCUAUUUCACCUGGUUGAAAUGCUCCCGCUGCAGAUCGGGCACAGCACAAGAGCGACACGUGAUCCUAAAACCAGCAACGUGUUUAAAUUACACACACAAUAAAUGGACAUCAUGAG